UACGUAGGGUGCGAGCGUUGUCCGGAAUUAUUGGGCGUAAAGAGCUCGUAGGCGGUCUGUCGCGUCGGUCGUGAAAACUUGGGGCUUAACCCUGAGCUUGCGGUCAAUACGGGCAUGACUGGAGUUCGGUAGGGGAGACUGGAAUUCCUGGUGUAGCGGUGAAAUGCGCAGAUAUCAGGAGGAACACCGGUGGCGAAGGCGGGUCUCUGGGCCGAUACUGACGCUGAGGAGCGAAAGCGUGGGGAGCGAACAGG
rnacentral:rRNA from 1 species